rnacentral:misc_RNA from 1 species
UUUCCUUUUCCUUUUCCUUUUCCAACCCUUGUUUGAUUUAGUUUCCCUCAGGUGUAUUUUUGUGUUCACGCUGUUAUCAUGAAAAUAAAUUGUUAAAUGCACUUUCAAGAAAAUUUAUGUGGGUUAAAUAUUGGAUUUUCAUUUCCAUGAUUUUUUCGAAGGCUGUGAUGUAUAAUCUUAAAUGACGAGUCUCCCUGCUUGUUAAGUUGCAAAUGGACUCAAAGUGAUCCGUGUCUAUAGGCCGGUAAGCCCGUAAGCUUUAUCUAGGGGGCAUUUUGAGGAAUGCAUUUCUUAUGAAUGUGUCAGUGCCUUGAGUAUCAGUAUCUAUAGGAACUGCAGUUAACUGGUCAAUUAUUCAUGAAUUCGUAUCAUCAUCUUUUGAAAGGUAUAUCUUCUCUGCCUUUUUUUUUUUU